ACCGUCAUGCUCCCCACCACCACGGUGCCCAGAGGUCAUGCCAGMUUCCUUGCCCCCAUUGGCUGGUGGGAGCCUGACUGUGCUUCAUGUGGUGAAGCAGGUGCCAUGGACCGUGGAGGAGGCAUUGGAACUGAAGGAGUGGACAGAGCGAGGGGAAGAGGACAGAAGCCUCCCCCUGCCCCGGGGCUGAGGAUGAAGAUUCAGAUCCUGGAUGCCUGGACUGGCAGGAAAUGCCCAGCUCAGGGUCUUCUAGCCUCACAUGUGACGGCAGAGAGUUGGCAUCGAAGCCCUCCCCACUGUGAUCCUGCCUUUGGUUCUGCAGACUGCUGUUAGCCCCUGGCUUUGCCCCAGGCCCUGGGGAAGGCAGUCCCCCAKGGGGUGCUUGGCCAACUCCACAGGACUCAGGAGGCCAGCCUAGUGUCCAGAGAACAAACCAUCCUUGGACAGCCUCUGGACUCAUCUCAAGGAGRGGGAGAUGCUGGGCCUGAGGCCCAUACCUGGGGGUCUCCUGCUGCUUAGGUCCUUUUGGGACCCCCACCCUCCAGGCCCUCUCUUUGCACACUUCUUCCUCCACCUCUACCCAUCUUCACCCCACUGUGGUGCUAGGCCUGGAGGUGGUGGGGGUGGGGUGGGGGUUUGGCCAUUACCAUUUCAUGCGUAUUUGGAAAUGAAGAUGUCCCACAAAGGGUAAUAACCACACUGUUUGCUGAGUGAAUUCUUUGCCCACAAAGACCCAGAGCUUGGAAGGUCUCUGCCUCCACCACACUUUCCCAAUCCAUAAUCCAUUUAGAAAUCUCUAGCCUGGUAGUUGACAUGCCUUAGUGGCUCUAGGAAUAAGGGGCCUCAGUGUGACUGAGAGAUGUUAUCUAAUUCUGAACCUAUAGAUGCUUCUUCUAUAGAAGGUUACCUUGCCCCUUCCAUCCUGGAAGAUGGCUCAGAUUUCUGGGCAGAACUUAACCCCUUGCCCUUUACACCCUCAGGUUUAUGCAUCUAUACAGUAAGUGAGUGUUCCUUGUUGGGUGGCUUAAAAGAAAUAAUUUCAACAUGGGGGACACUGAAAUGCAAGUAGCUGCCCUGAGAGAUACAGAAUUGCUAGUUAAGUCACCCCCUCCCCUGCACCAAUGCUCUCCACAUUAUAGCCAACAGUCUACUCUUCUUCCUUUCCUCCAUCUUUCAUCAUGUCUGACCUUCUGGGGUGGAACAGUGGCCUACUCCAGAGCCUCUGGAAGGAGCAAGAAGGCUGAGUGACCCCCUUCAACACUGUGAAGUCUUUKCUAACCUCUUUGUGCUUCCAACCUGUUUUGUUUUCCUUCAGAUUUCCUCUAUCUGCCAA
rnacentral:lncRNA from 1 species